UACUAUACUGCUUUGGAAUGAAUUUUUUUGGGGGACAACAGCAGGAUUAGCGCCAUCUUCUAGAUGCCAUCAGGUAGGUGCGCUAGCGUAGUCGUUUGUUGUAGCAUUAGAUCCCUUUUCCCCCUUUUUAAAAAAUGUUUGUAAGACGCCUGAAAUUUGUAUAAAUUAGUUAUAUAAGUGGUUGAAUUAAGAAUUGGUGAAACUUGGAAAAUAGAAGAGGACAGAGAAGAGGAUUGCUUUGAAAUAGAAGGAAAGGAGAGAGAAGAUGUUUGAGGAAAGGAGGAGGAUUUUGUUGGCUGUAACGGAAGUUUUUUGAAUGAAAUUUGGAGCAACUGUAUUAAGAUGUUAUUGGUAUCUUGGACAUCAAGUUUCAUUUAUUUGUGUAUUAUACAAGCAUAUCUAUUAGUGGAAAUGUAGAAUGGCAGCUGUUAUAACAACUUGGAUGAAUUAUUAGAAACACCAAAGAAGUUUUGGCAUAAUUUAAACUGCGAAAAGGCUCACAAAUGACCAAUUUAUUCUACAGUAGAUACAGGACAUUAAAUUGACUUCAACAACGCAGAUAUCUCUCAAAAAUGAUAUCUGUUCGAGUGAUGUACUGGGCGUUAACAGUUUGAUGUUACAAAUCUGCAAAUGAGUUAGAACUGUACAUAAGUUUGAUGAAUGCCGGAGGAAUUUUUUGAAUGGAAUGAUACUGAAUUUUUUACCUACAAAUGACAAUUUCAAGAUACAAUCAAUAGUAUUUGGAUUGAUUGGCCUUCAUUACCAUUGUGCUAUGAAAAUGUAAGCAAUACAAAUUGGUAUUAAUGGACGUUUUGACAGCUGUUUCCAGUCCAAGUUCCAGUUUUAAUGGAAAAUCUUUAAUGGACACAGAAAAAUGCUAUUUACUGGAUUGACUUCAAUACCUGUUGCCUUUUAAUAAUGGUAUACAAUGGGACAGUUGCUGUUAGAAGUCAACAAGUAGUACUAGUUGCAAAUAAUAUAUUAUGGCGGACAUCAAAAAACUUUAAAUGGAAUGAAACUUGCAGAAAAAGACUCAGAAAGACCAUUUAGGACUGUACUUAAUAGCUGUUAGAGUGGAUGCAGUCCUUCAUCAAUGUGAGCUGAAGAAAUUGAUCGUAAUGGAAAUUUUUACAGCUGCUGUCACAACUCAACGAACAAAUUGCAGCUUUGAAGGAAAAUAUUUGAUUGGAUACAGAAAAAUGUCAGUCGUUUCAGGAUGUAAAGUUAAUAGAACCAGGGUUGGGCUCGACAUCUGUUACCUUUUAAUAAUGGCAUACGAUAGGACAAUGACUAUUAGACACCGAUAAGACAUACUAGCUGCAAAUAAUAUGUAUGGUGGUCAUAAAAGAGAUUUAAAUGAAAUGAGAAACUCCUGAGAAAAAAAAAUCAAGGAAAACCAUUUUGAACUGCUGUUACUUAAUAGCUGUUAGAGGAGAUCCAGUUCUUCAUCAAUGGUAUAAGCUGGGACAAUUGCUGUUAAAAAUCCACAAGCCGUACUAUCUGUAAAUAUUAUGGUGGACAUCAAAAAGCUUUAAAUGGAAUGAAACUUGCAAGAAAAGACUUAGAAAGACCAUUUAGGACUGUACUUAAUAGCUGUUGAAAAGUGGUCGCAGUCUUUUAUUAAUGAUAUCUCUACAUUUUCUUAACAAUGGAUAUCCCCAACAGUUGCUCCUACUCCUCACUUUCCUCUUUCACUCGACAUAAAGCAGACUCAAUACUCCUCAAUGCCUCACCAAGGUUCGUUAGCUUCAUUAAUAUUGUUAUUGUUUCAAUAAAUUUGUUUAUUGGUUUUUAUCCUCUUACUAUAUAAUUGUA
rnacentral:lncRNA from 1 species